UUCGCAAUGCCCGAAAGGGUGACGAAGCGACGCCGCGUGGGUGAGGAAGGCCCUCGGGUUGUAAAGCCCUGUCAGGAGUUAAGAAAUGUAGAUUCGCUAAUAUCGGGUCUAUUUGACGAAGGCUCCAAAGGAAGCCACGGCUAACUCUGUGCCAACAGCCGCGGUAAUACAGAGGUGGCAAGCGUUGUUCGGAAUUAUUGGGCGUAAAGAGCACGUAGGUGGAUUUGUAAGUCAGAUGUGAAAGCCUUCUGUUCAACGGGAGAAUUGCAUCUGAAACUACAGACCUUGAGUAUAGGAGGGGAGAAUGGAACUUCUGGUGGAGCGGUGAAAUGCGUAGAUAUCAGAAGGAACGCCGGCGGCGAAAGCGAUUCUCUGGCCUAUUACUGACACUCAGUGUGCGAAAGCUAGGGGAGCAAACGGGAUUAGAUACCUCGGUAGUCCUAGCCGUAAACGAUGGGCACUAAGUAGAGGGGUUUU
rnacentral:rRNA from 1 species